AGCAGCCGCGGUAAUUCCAGCUCCAAUAGCGUAUAUUAAAGUUGUUGCAGUUAAAAAGCUCGUAGUUGAAUUUCGGGAUCAAUAUGCUGGUCGUGCCUUCGGUACGCACUGGUAUUAUUGGUUUCUCCUUUCUGAUGAAUCGCGAUGUCAUUAAUUUGGUGUCGUGGGGAAUCAGGACUGUUACUUUGAAAAAAUUAGAGUGUUUAAAGCAGGCUCACGCUUGAAUACAUUAGCAUGGAAUAAUGAAAUAGGACGCUUGAUUCUAUUUUGUUGGUUUCUAGGAUCGACGUAAUGAUUAAUAGGGAUAGUUGGGGGCAUUAGUAUUCAAUUGUCAGAGGUGAAAUUCUUGGAUUUAUUGAAGACUAACUACUGCGAAAGCAUUUGCCAAGGAUGUUUUCAUUAAUCAAGAACGAAAGUUAGGGGAUCGAAGACGAUCAGAUACCGUCGUAGUCUUAACCAUAAACUAUGCCGACUA
rnacentral:rRNA from 1 species